UGUUAAUUUUGGAAACUUUGUACAGGCUCCAUGUUAAUUUUGGAAACUUUCUACAGGCUCCAUAUUAAUUUUUCAAACAUUGUACAGGUUCCAUGUUAACUUUGGAAACUUUGUACAGGCUCCAUGUUAAUUUUGGAAAAUUUGUACAAGCUCCAUGUUAAUUUUGGAAACUUUGUACAGGCUCCAUAUCAAUUUUUCAAACUUUGUACGGGCUCCAUGUUAAUUUUGGAAACUUUGUACAAGCUCCAUGUUAAUUUUGGAAACUUUGUACAGGCUCCAUAUUAAUUUUAGAAACUUUGUAUAGGCUCCAUGUUAAUUUUGGAAACUUUGUACAGGCUCCAUGUUAAUUUUGGAAAAAUUGUACGGGCUCCAUGUUAAUUUUGGAAACUUUGUACAG
rnacentral:misc_RNA from 1 species